GACGAACGCUGUCGGCGUGCUUAACACAUGCAAGUCGAACGGAAAGGCCCUGCUUUUGUGGGGUGCUCGAGUGGCGAACGGGUGAGUAACACGUGAGUAACCUGCCCUUGACUUUGGGAUAACUUCAGGAAACUGAGGCUAAUACCGGAUAGGAGCUCCUGCUGCAUGGUGGGGGUUGGAAAGUUUCGGCGGUUGGGGAUGGACUCGCGGCUUAUCAGCUUGUUGGUGGGGUAGUGGCUUACCAAGGCUUUGACGGGUAGCCGGCCUGAGAGGGUGACCGGCCACAUUGGGACUGAGAUACGGCCCAGACUCCUACGGGAGGCAGCAGUGGGGAAUAUUGCACAAUGGGCGGAAGCCUGAUGCAGCAACGCCGCGUGCGGGAUGACGGCCUUCGGGUUGUAAACCGCUUUCGCCUGUGACGAAGCGUGAGUGACGGUAAUGGGUAAAGAAGCACCGGCUAACUACGUGCCAGCAGCCGCGGUGAUACGUAGGGUGCGAGCGUUGUCCGGAUUUAUUGGGCGUAAAGGGCUCGUAGGUGGUUGAUCGCGUCGGAAGUGUAAUCUUGGGGCUUAACCCUGAGCGUGCUUUCGAUACGGGUUGACUUGAGGAAGGUAGGGGAGAAUGGAAUUCCUGGUGGAGCGGUGGAAUGCGCAGAUAUCAGGAGGAACACCAGUGGCGAAGGCGGUUCUCUGGGCCUUUCCUGACGCUGAGGAGCGAAAGCGUGGGGAGCGAACAGGCUUAGAUACCCUGGUAGUCCACGCUGUAAACGGUGGGUACUAGGUGUGGGGUCCAUUCCACGGGUUCCGUGCCGUAGCUAACGCUUUAAGUACCCCGCCUGGGGAGUACGGCCGCAAGGCUAAAACUCAAAGGAAUUGACGGGGCCCCGCACAAGCGGCGGAGCAUGCGGAUUAAUUCGAUGCAACGCGUAGAACCUUACCUGGGUUUGACAUGGAUCGGGAGUGCUCAGAGAUGGAUGUGCCUCUUUUGGGGUCGGUUCACAGGUGGUGCAUGGCUGUCGUCAGCUCGUGUCGUGAGAUGUUGGGCUAAGUCCCGCAACGAGCGCAACCCUUGUUCACUGUUGCCAGCACGUUAUGGUGGGGACUCAGUGGAGACCGCCGGGGUCAACUCGGAGGAAGGUGGGGAUGACGUCAAGUCAUCAUGCCCCUUAUGUCCAGGGCUUCACGCAUGCUACAAUGGCUGGUACAGAGAGUGGCGAGCCUGUGAGGGUGAGCGAAUCUCGGAAAGCCGGUCUCAGUUCGGAUUGGGGUCUGCAACUCGACCUCAUGAAGUCGGAGUCGCUAGUAAUCGCAGAUCAGCAACGCUGCGGUGAAUACGUUCCCGGGGCU
rnacentral:rRNA from 1 species